CUACGUGCCAGCAGCCGCGGUAAUACGGAGGAUGCGAGCGUUAUCCGGAUUUAUUGGGUUUAAAGGGUGCGUAGGCGGCCUGUUAAGUCAGCGGUGAAAUCUAGGAGCUUAACUCCUAAAUUGCCAUUGAUACUGGCGGGCUUGAGUGUAGAUGAGGUAGGCGGAAUGCGUGGUGUAGCGGUGGAAUGCAUAGAUAUCACGCAGAACUCCGAUUGCGAAGGCAGCUUACUAAGGUACAACUGACGCUGAAGCACGAAAGCGUGGGUAUCAAACAGGAUUAGAUACCCUGGUAGUCCACGCAGUAAACGAUGAGUGCUAGGUGUUAGACCCUUUCCGGGGUUUAGUGCCGUAGCUAACGCAUUAAGCACUCCGCCUGGGGAGUACGACCGCAAGGUUGAAACUCAAAGGAAUUGACGGGGGCCCGCACAAGCGGUGGAGCAUGUGGUUUAAUUCGACGCAACGCGAAGAACCUUACCAGGUCUUGACAUUGAKGACAGAACUAGAGAUAG
rnacentral:rRNA from 1 species